rnacentral:rRNA from 1 species
CCUACGGGCGGCAGCAGUGGGGAAUAUUGGACAAUGGGGGCAACCCUGAUCCAGCCAUGCCGCGUGUGUGAAGAAGGCCCUCGGGUUGUAAAGCACUUUCAGUGAGGAAGAACGCCUGGUGGUUAAUACCCAUCAGGAAAGACAUCACUCACAGAAGAAGCACCGGCUAACUCCGUGCCAGCAGCCGCGGUAAUACGGAGGGUGCGAGCGUUAAUCGGAAUUACUGGGCGUAAAGCGCGCGUAGGUGGCUUGAUAAGCCGGUUGUGAAAGCCCCGGGCUCAACCUGGGAACGGCAUCCGGAACUGUCAAGCUAGAGUGCAGGAGAGGAAGGUAGAAUUCCCGGUGUAGCGGUGAAAUGCGUAGAGAUCGGGAGGAAUACCAGUGGCGAAGGCGGCCUUCUGGACUGACACUGACACUGAGGUCCGAAAGCGUGGGUAGCAAACAGGAUUAGAUACCCUUGUAGUC